ACCGUCUUAGUUCAGUGGGAGAACGCCACCCUUACAAGGUGGAUGUCACAGGUUCAAAUCCUGUAGACGGUAUCA
rnacentral:tRNA from 1 species